rnacentral:rRNA from 1 species
GACGAACGCUGGCGGCGUGCCUAAUACAUGCAAGUCGAGCGAAUCAGCAGGAGCUUGCUCCUGUUGGUUAGCGGCGGACGGGUGAGUAACACGUGGGCAACCUGCCUGUAAGACUGGGAUAACACCGGGAAACCGGUGCUAAUACCGGAUAAUCCUUUUCCUCUCAUGAGGAAAAGCUGAAAGUCGGUUUCGGCUGACACUUACAGAUGGGCCCGCGGCGCAUUAGCUAGUUGGUGAGGUAACGGCUCACCAAGGCGACGAUGCGUAGCCGACCGGGGAGGGUGAUCGGCCACACUGGGACUGAGACACGGCCCAGACUCCUACGGGAGGCAGCAGUAGGGAAUCUUCCACAAUGGACGAAAGUCUGAUGGAGCAACGCCGCGUGAGCGAUGAAGGCCUUCGGGUCGUAAAGCUCUGUUGUUAGGGAAGAACAAGUACCGGAGUAACUGCCGGUACCUUGACGGUACCUAACCAGAAAGCCACGACUAACUACGUGCCAGCCGCCGCCGUAACAC